rnacentral:lncRNA from 1 species
CAGACAACAUGUAUAGAGAUGGAAUGUACACAAUGUAAUUUCUUUUGUCAUUGUAGGAAAUUGACAUUUUGAUGAAAGUUCACAAGCAGUGCAUGUUUUGGAUUUAAUUGAAUCCGGUGUAACUUUAAAACACAUUUAAUGAUUAUUUUUUGAUAAUGUCCAUUUUUCAGCACCUGUUUGUAACACAGAUUAGUAUUUCAAUCUCGGAGCGGACAUUUUAUUGUAGGUUUUUACUGAGAUUGACGGACCUAGCAAGCGAUUUUUACUGCAUUGCCAUUUCUUUUUUCUAGGAAAAGUCUUGAGAGAUAUCUGCAAAAAGUUUUUUUAUGAACCUUCAGUACAUGUAUGCCCUGCUGACUGCAAAUUUUCAGGUCGAUUGGACUUGUAGUUUCAGAGAAUAUGUGGAUUUUUUUUCAGAAGAGACGUAAGAACAAUAAUAAAAUAAAAAUUUUCUUGAAUAAUUGAGAGUUUGUUCCUUCAAUAAACUGUCAUAAAUAAACAGUCAUACAUAUUGAUUGAUUGAUUAGUUGGUUGAUUGAUUGGUUGGUUGGUUGGUUGGUUUGUUGGUUGGUUGAUUAAACACGUUUGAUAGGGUCACUUAGAACAAGGGGAAAAAGACCUCAAGAGACCUUGCAUCCCGUAUUAAACGCAUGACACGGAAACAUACAUUAAGUGAUUGAUUGGUUGGUUGGUUGGUUGGUUAAACGUUGGUUAAACACGUUGGUUAAACAUGUUGGUUAAACACGUUGGCUGGUUAAACACGUUUGAUAGGCUCAAUUUAAACAAGCGAAAAAAAACCAUCUUGGAUCCCGUAUUUAACACAUGAAACGGAAACAUGCAUUGAUUGAUUGAUUGAUUGGUUGGUUGGUUGGUUGGUUGGUUGGUUAAACACGUUGGUUAAACAUGUUGGUUAAACACGUUGGCUGGUUAAACACGUUGGAUGGUUAAACACGUUAGAUAGGCUCAAUUUAAACAAGCGAAAAAAAAAAACCAUCUUGGAUCCCGUAUUUAACACAUGAAACGGAAACAUGCAUUGAUUGAUUGAUUGGUUGGUUGGUUGGUUGGUAAGUUGGUUAAACACGUUGGUUAAACACGUUGGUUAAACACGUUGGUUAAAACACGUUGGCUGGUUAAACACGUUAGAUAGGCUCAAUUUAAACAAGCGAAAAAAAACCAUCUUGGAUCCCGUAUUUAACACAUGAAACGGAAACAUGCAUUGAUUGAUUGAUUGGUUGGUUGGUUGGUUGGUUGGUUGGUUAAACACGUUGGUUAAACAUGUUGGUUAAACACGUUGGCUUGGUUAAACACGUUGGCUGGUUAAACACGUUAGAUAGGCUCAAUUUAAACAAGCGAAAAAAAACCAUCUUGGAUCCCGUAUUUAACACAUGAAACGCAAACAUGCAUUGAUUGAUUGAUUGGUUGGUUGGUUGGUUGGUUGGUUGGUUAAACACGUUGGUUAAACACGUUGGUUAAACACGUUGGUUAAACACGUUGGCUGGUUAAACACGUUAGAUAGGCUCAAUUUAAACGAGCGAAAAAAAACCAUCUUGGAUCCCGUAUUUAACACAUGAAACGGAAACAUGCAUUGAUUGAUUGGUUGGUUGGUUGGUUGGUUGGUUGGUUAAACAUGUUGGUUAAACAUGUUGGUUAAACACGUUGGCUGGUUAAACACGUUAGAUAGGCUCAAUUUAAACAAGCGAAAAAAAACCAUCUUGGAUCCCGUAUUUAACACAUGAAACGGAAACAUGCAUUGAUUGAUUGAUUGAUUGAUUGAUUGGUUGGUUGGUUGGUUGGUUGGUUGGUUCGUUGGUUAAACAUGUUGGUUAAACACGUUGUUAAACAUAUUUGUUAAACAUGUUGGUUAAACACGUUUGAUAGGCUCAAUUAAAACAAGCGAAAAAAAAGAGACCUUGAAUCCCGUAUCAAACACAUGAAACGGAAACAUUGAUUGAUUGAUUGAUUGAUUGAUUGAUUGAUUGAUUGAUUGGUUGGUUGGUUGGUUGGUUGGUUGGUUAUUGAAAUUCAAACACACAUAAAACUGUUUAAAUAGUGCCAAAACCACAUAAUUUGAUGACCUUGACCUUUGACCUUGUGACCUUCGUCAAGGUCAUUGCUCCACAAGGUCAUUGCAAAAGACCCUAUGGGUCAAGGACCUUUUGUUUAAGAGUUUUGCCUAAAUAUGGCUUUUUAAAAAACCAUCGAUGGGAGUUAUGUCCCUUACAUGAUGGUAAAAUCAAUAUAGUCAUAAUGUAAAAAAGUUGCCCCUUGAAGUACUUAACAUUUUUCACUGCUUAAAUUUUUUUGUAUCUAUAACCAUUCAAGAAUUAUAGGGAAAUCAAAGACAUAUGAAAAUCUAAAAUAUGACCUUGACCUUUGACCUUGACCUAAUUUUCUAAGUUAGGAAUCAGGGGACUCAAAUAAAAACAUUCCAGGGUUAUACGGUUAACGGUUUAUGAGUUAAAAAAAACAUACCGACAAAUUUAUUCCGUAAAGAUAGAUA